rnacentral:rRNA from 1 species
ACAGCAGCCGCCGCGGGAAUACGUAGGGUGCAAGCGUUAAUCGGAAUUACUGGGCGUAAAGCGUGCGCAGGCGGUUAUAUAAGACAGAUGUGAAAUCCCCGGGCUCAACCUGGGAACUGCAUUUGUGACUGUAUAGCUAGAGUACGGCAGAGGGGGAUGGAAUUACGCGUGUAGCAGUGAAAUGCGUAGAUAUGCGGAGGAACACCGAUGGCGAAGGCAAUCCCCUGGGCCUGUACUGACGCUCAUGCACGAAAGCGUGGGGAGCAAACAGGAUUAGAUACCCCAGUAGUCCCUGUCUCUUAUAA